rnacentral:pre_miRNA from 1 species
CUGGUGUCAGUGCUCCGUCGUAUAUGAUUUUGUUGUACGACUUUUUAAAUUUUUGUAUGUGAUUUGACAGAUAAAAUCCCAUACAAAAAUCGUAUACGACGGAGCACUGACACCA